rnacentral:rRNA from 1 species
UACGUAGGGUGCAAGCGUUGUCCGGAAUUAUUGGGCGUAAAGAGCGUGUAGGCGGCCCGACCAGUCCGCUGUGAAAGUCCAGGGCUCAACCCUGGAAUGCCGGUGGAUACUGUCGGGCUAGAAUCCGGAAGAGGCGAGUGGAAUUCCUGGUGUAGCGGUGAAAUGCGCAGAUAUCAGGAGGAACACCUAUGGCGAAGGCAGCUCGCUGGGACGGUAUUGACGCUGAGACGCGAAAGCGUGGGGAGCGAACAGG